rnacentral:rRNA from 1 species
UGCGCAGGCGGCCAAGUGUGUGAGGCGUGAAAGCCUGGGGCUUAACUCCAGAAUUGCACCUCAAACUACAUGGCUAGAGCAUUGGAGAGGGUAGCGGAACUCACGGUGUAGCAGUGAAAUGCGUAGAUAUCGUGAGGAACACCAGAGGCGAAGGCGGCUACCUGGACAAUUGCUGACGCUCAGGCACGAAAGCGUGGGGAGCAAAAGGGAUUAGAUACCCCUGUAGUCCACGCCCUAAACGGUGCACACUAGGUCUUGGCGGAUUCGACCCCCCCAGGGCCCAAGCUAACGCGUUAAGUGUGCCGCCUGAGGACUACGGCCGCAAGGCUAAA